CAGUAACGGCGAGUGAAGCGGCAACAGCUCAAAUUUGAAAUCUGGCUCCUUUCGGGGUCCGAAUUGUAAUUUGUAGAGAGUGCUUCGGGCGAGACCUCGGUCUAAGUCCAUUGGAACAUGGUGUCAUAGAGGGUGAGAAUCCCGUAUGCGACCGUGGCUCGAGCCCAUGUGAAGCCUCUUCGACGAGUCGAGUUGUUUGGGAAUGCAGCUCAAAACGGGUGGUAAAUUUCAUCUAAAGCUAAAUAUUGGCUGGAGACCGAUAGCGCACAAGUAGAGUGAUCGAAAGAUGAAAAGCACUUUGGAAAGAGAGUCAAACAGUACGUGAAAUUGUUGAAAGGGAAGCGCUUGCAACCAGACCUGCCCGUAGGCGAUCAGCCGCUGUUCUCAGCGGUGCACUCGCUCUGCGAUCAGGCCAGCAUCGGUUUCGGCGGUCGGAUAAAGGCCUUGGGAAUGUAGCUUCCCUUCGGGGGAGUCUUAUAGCCCUCGGUGCAAUGCGGCCAGCCGGGACCGAGGACCGCGCUUCGGCUAGGAUGCUGGCGUAAUGGUUGUAAGCGACCCGUCUUGAAACACGGACCAAGGAGUCUAACAUCUAUGCGAGUGUUUGGGUGUCAAACCCAUACGCGGAAUGAAAGUGAACGGAGGUGAGAACCCUUAAAGGGCGCAUCAUCGACCGAUCCAGAUGUCUUCGGAUGGAUUUGAGUAUGAGCAUAGCUGUUGGGACCCGAAAGAUGGUGAACUAUGCCUGAAUAGGGUGAAGCCAGAGGAAACUCUGGUGGAGGCUCGCAGCGGUUCUGACGUGCAAAUCGAUCGUCAAAUUUGGGUAUAGGGGCGAAAGACUAAUC
rnacentral:rRNA from 1 species